rnacentral:rRNA from 1 species
CAUGCCGUAAACGGUGGGCGCUAGGUGUGGGGGUCUUCCACGACUUCUGUGCCGUAGCUAACGCAUUAAGCGCCCCGCCUGGGGAGUACGGCCGCAAGGCUAAAACUCAAAGGAAUUGACGGGGGCCCGCACAAGCGGCGGAGCAUGUGGAUUAAUUCGAUGCAACGCGAAGAACCUUACCUGGGCUUGACAUGUACCGGAUCGGCGCAGAGAUGUGUCUUCCCUUGUGGUCGGUAUACAGGUGG